rnacentral:rRNA from 1 species
UACAGAGGGUGCUAGCGUUGUUCGGAAUCAUUGGGCGUAAAGGGCGUGUAGGCGGUUUGUUAAGUCAUGUGUGAAAGCCCCCGGCUCAACCGGGGAACGACGCAUGAAACUGGCAAGCUAGAGUACCGAAGAGGGGGGUGGAAUUCCCGGUGUAGCGGUGAAAUGCGUAGAUAUCGGGAGGAAGACCAGUGGCGAAGGCGGGUCUCUGGACAGUUCCUGACGCUGAGGCACGAAGGUCAGGGGAGCAAACGGG